rnacentral:rRNA from 1 species
UACGUAGGCAGCAAGCGUUGUUCGGAAUUACUGGGCGUAAAGAGUGUGUAGGCGGUUUUCUAAGUUUGGUGUGAAAUCUCCCGGCUUAACUGGGAGGGUGCGCCGAAUACUGAAUGACUUCGAGUGCGGGAGAGGAGAGUGGAAUUCCGUGGUGUAGCGGUGAAAUGCGCAGAUAUCCGGAGGAACACCAAUGGCGAAGGCAGUGUCCUGGGAAGUACCUGACGCUCAGGUGCGAAAGCUAGGGGAGCGAACAGG